rnacentral:rRNA from 1 species
UGAACGCUGGCGGCGUGCCUAACACAUGCAAGUCGAGCGGUAACAGGUGUAGCAAUACAUGCUGACGAGCGGCGAACGGGUGAGUAAUGCUUCGGAAUCUACCCAAUGGUGGGGAAUAACCAGCCGAAAGGUUGGCUAAUACCGCAUACGUCCUACGGGAGAAAGCAGGGGAUCGUAAGACCUUGCGCCAAUGGAUGAGCCGAAGCCGGAUUAGCUAGUUGGUAGGGUAACGGCCUACCAAGGCGACGAUCCGUAGCUGGUCUGAGAGGACGACCAGCCACACUGGGACUGAGACACGGCCCAGACUCCUACGGGAGGCAGCAGUGGGGAAUAUUGGACAAUGGGGGAAACCCUGAUCCAGCGACGCCGCGUGUGUGAAGAAGGCCUGCGGGUUGUAAAGCACUUUUAGUGGGGAUGAAAAGUCCAGGGCUAAUAUCUCUGGAUCUUGANCUAACCCAAAGAAAAAGCACCGGCCAACUCUGUGUCAGCAGCCGCGGUAAUACAGAG